GGACUACCCGGGUUUCUAAUCCUGUUUGCUCCCCACGCUUUCGAGUCUCAGCGUCAGUGUUCGUCCAGUUGGCCGCCUUCGCCACCGGUGUUCCUCUCGAUAUCUACGAAUUUCACCUCUACACCGAGAAUUCCACCAACCUCUCCGACACUCUAGCCUGGCAGUUUCGAGUGCACUUCCUGGGUUGAGCCCAGGGCUUUCACACCCGACUUUUCAGACCGCCUACACUCGCUUUACGCCCAGUAAUUCCGAACAACGUUUGCACCCUCUGUCUUACCGCGGCUGCUGGCAC
rnacentral:rRNA from 1 species